UACAGAGGGUGCGAGCGUUAAUCGGAUUUACUGGGCGUAAAGCGUGCGUAGGUGGUUUGUUAAGUCAGGUGUGAAAUCCCCGGGCUCAACCUGGGAACUGCGCUUGAAACUGGCAAGCUAGAGUGUGGUAGAGGGUAGUGGAAUUCCCGGUGUAGCGGUGAAAUGCGUAGAUAUCGGGAAGAACACCAGUGGCGAAGGCGGCUACCUGGACCAACACUGACACUGAGGCACGAAAGCGUGGGGAGCAAACAGG
rnacentral:rRNA from 1 species